rnacentral:rRNA from 1 species
UACAGAGGUCUCGAGCGUUGUUCGGAUUUAUUGGGCGUAAAGGGUGCGUAGGCGGUGUGGCAAGUCAAGUGUGAAAUCUCGGAGCUUAACUCUGAAACUGCACUUGUUACUGCCGUGCUAGAGGGUUGUAGAGGAGAUCGGAAUUUACGGUGUAGCGGUGAAAUGCGUAGAUAUCGUAAGGAAGACCAGUGGCGAAGGCGGGUCUCUGGACAGUUCCUGACGCUGAGGCACGAAGGUCAGGGGAGCAAACGGG